ensembl:lncRNA
UAUUGCUGCUUCCGUGCAGCUCAAUGCGGAAGACAAACAGGGAUCAACUCAUUCCUAAUAAACUCCGAAACCGGACCGAAAGAAAGUUCCCAAGGUAAAGCCAUUACAUUGACAGUUUUCUUUGUAAAUAGCACGGGCAGAAAGAAAAAGACAAAAACUACAGUGAUCAUUGAGAUUUGUGAGAUCUCUAUCAUGUCGCACCUGUACUUAAACAAUGGCAGUCUAACGUAGUUGACGAGGUAUUAUAGACCAAACCGACGGUGUUUUCCACGGCAUGAGUUGAGGCAGGUACAUGAUAAAUGUGUCUGAAAGUAAAUACGUGCUUGAAGGUUUAGAACGCGACAUUUCCCAUUAAUUUAACGUUCAUUUUGUGACUGUAAUUAAUGCAUUUUUUUGUGUACCCAUUUCCACAAAAUCAAAAAAUAAUGGCACCCUUUUUCUUUCAAAAUCCGAUGACACAGAUUUACUUCCAUAUAUUAGGGACAGUCACCCUUUCAAUUUACCACAAAUAUUCAAUCAUUUGUUCGCUUCUUUCUGUCACGUUGCGAGUUUCGGGGUGUGAACUCUCGUUGGACAUAACAAGCAAUUUGAAGGUUUUGUCUUGGCCAUCGAUAAUGUAAGAUAUGUUUGAAAAAGGCCAUUUUGCUCAAACAACCAGAUGUAAUGACAGAUGCAAAGUAUAUCAUCUCAAAUGAGAAACUGAAUUGUGUGGUGAAGAACGUUUGAGAACUUUUUUAAAAAUGUGGAUUGAAUCAACACCAACGUUCUAAAUUGUAUGAUAAGAUAACGUGUAAUUACACAGUAUCAAUGGUUUAUUUUGGCACCUGAUGUAAUUUUACUUAAUCAAAUAAUCCUUGCAUUUACUUUUCUCACUGUUUUGACAGGAGUUGCGAUUGAGACCUGAAGUAUUUCACUUGUCAGGUCAAAAAUCAUAACAUGUGGCCAAAUCAAGGUCCUCCCCCUCCAGUGGGCCCACCAAACCCUGCCUAUCCUCCUGGCCACAACCCUGCAUAUCCUGUUGCACCUACAUCAGGAUUCUUCCCACCACCUGGGCAAUAUCCAGCUGGGCAAUAUCCAGCCGGGCAAUAUCCAGCCGGGCAAUAUCCAGCCGGGCAAUAUCCAGCCAUGGUACCACAAGUACCCCCAGGGGGCAUGCCUUAUAGUGCUCAGGGACCCAAUCCUUAUCCUAUGGCUCCGGGUGGAUAUCCACUUGUUCCUCCUGCAGGGGCUCACCCAGGUCCUUACCCGCACUCUCCAAAAGGAGGUCACCAUAAAGGCCAUAAAGGCCACAAAGAUCAUCAUCAUGGAGGGUUAAAUCCCAUGGCCGGAGCAUGCGCCGGAGGAGUGGCUGGAAUGGGAAUGGGAAUGGGGUUGGCCGGACAUAAAGGCCACAAAAAGAUGAAAAAGGUGAAGAAGAUGAAGAAGGCGCAUAAGGGGCAGAAACACGGCAAGUCGUCCAGCAGCAGUAGCAGCAGCAGCAGCAGCAGUGACUAAGACCGAGGCCACAAGGCUUUUUCAGAAGCAAGAGUGCAACCUUUAUAUUAAAAAUAACCACACUAAAGUCAUACUUGUCACUUUAAACAUGAAGUGUACAAUUAAAGCAUUUAAAUAAAAUAAAGAUAGAAAUAAAGUGUUUUAGCAUUUCUCAUUAGAAAUGCAUGCAUGAGCUGUUAACGAUCUCACAGUAUUUGCUGUGUUUACACUCCACCGUGGUGUUUGUGGUGUUUUCAAGUUCCAUUACGAGUACAUUAGUACACAAACAUAUUGACAUUAGUUUGACAUGGGCUGCAGAAUUGAUUUAUGAGAAUAUCUAACAAUGUGAUUUAUUCAAAGAAAAUGUUUUUUUUAUUUUUUAUGAUUGACCUUGAGAUGGAGAUUCAUACGGAUAUUGAGUGUCUUUAUUUUUGUUCACUGCUACACAGCUCAUCACUGCUCACAUCAGUACUACACAUAACUGCAGAAUGCAUUAUUCUACAAGGCUUUGUUUCAGCAUUAAUUGUUAAUAUAAAUAAAGAGUCUUCAAUUAAACCUGUCUAAUGAAUACUUUUAAACGAAACGAAUGCUGAAUGAACGAUGCUGCUGGAUUAUAAAUAUUA